rnacentral:snRNA from 1 species
UUGCUUUGGCAGCACAUAUACGAAAACUGGAGCGAUACAGAGAAGAUUAGUAUGGCCUCUGUGCAAGGAUGACACACAAAUUUGUGAAGCAGUCCACAUUUUU